rnacentral:rRNA from 1 species
UACGAAGGGGGCGAGCGUUGUUCGGAUUUACUGGGCGUAAAGGGCGCGCAGGCGGUUCUGUUUGUCGAGUGUGAAAGCCCCGGGCUCAACCUGGGAACUGCGCUCGAAACGGCGGAACUAGAGUUCGGGAGAGGAGAGUGGAAUUCCCAGUGUAGAGGUGAAAUUCGUAGAUAUUCGGAAGAACACCAGUGGCGAAGGCGGCUAACUGGCCCAUUACUGACGACUGAGGCUCGGAAAGCGUGGGGAGCAACAGG